CCUACGGGGGGCUGCAGUAAGGAAUCUUCCACAAUGGGGGCAACCCUGAUGGAGCAACGCCGCGUGCAGGAUGAAGGUUUUCGGAUCGUAAACUGCUUUUAUUAGUGAAGAAUAUGACGGUAACUAAUGAAUAAGGAUCGGCUAACUACGUGCCAGCAGCCGCGGUCAUACGUAGGAUCCGAGCGUUAUCCGGAGUGACUGGGCGUAAAGAGUUGCGUAGGUGGUCGGUAAAGUGAAUAGUGAAAUCUGGUGGCUCAACCAUCAACCCAUUAUUC
rnacentral:rRNA from 1 species